rnacentral:Y_RNA from 1 species
GGCUGGUCCCAUGGUAGUGGGUUAUCAGAACUUACUAACAUUAGUGUCACUAACGUUGGUAUUCAACCCCCCACUGCUAAAUUUGACUGGCUUUUA